rnacentral:rRNA from 1 species
GAUGAACGCUGGCGGCGUGCCUAAUACAUGCAAGUCGAGCGAACGGACGAGAAGCUUGCUUCUCUGAUGUUAGCGGCGGACGGGUGAGUAACACGUGGAUAACCUACCUAUAAGACUGGGAUAACUUCGGGAAACCGGCGCUAAUACCGGAUAAUAUUUUGAACCGCAUGGUUCAAAAGUGAAAGACGGUCUUUCUGUCACUUAUCGAUGGAUCCGCGCUGCAUUAGCUAGUUGGUAAGGUAACGGCCUACCAAGGCAACGAUGCAUAGCCGACCUGAGAGGGUGAUCGGCCGCACUGGAACGGAGACACGGUCCAGACUCCUACGGGACGCAGCAGUAGGGAAUCUUCCGCAAUGGGCGAAAGCCUGACGGAGCAACGCCGCGUGAGUGAUGAAGGUCUUCGGAUCGUAAAACUCUGUUAUUAGGGAAGAACAUAUGUGUAAGUAACUGUGCACAUCUUGACGGUACCUAAUCAGAAAGCCACGGCUAACUACGUG